rnacentral:rRNA from 1 species
UGCCUAACACAUGCAAGUCGAACGGAAACAGAUCGCUGUGAUCCCUUCGGGGUGAACUUGAUGCUGUCGAGUGGCGGACGGGUGAGUAAUGCUUGGGAAUCUGCCCAGUAGUGGGGGACAACACGAGGAAACUCGUGCUAAUACCGCAUACGCACUACGGUGGAAAGUGGGGGACCUUCGGGCCUCACGCUAUUGGAUGAGCCUAAGUCGGAUUAGCUUGUUGGUGGGGUAAUGGCUCACCAAGGCGACGAUCCGUAGCUGGUCUGAGAGGACGAUCAGCCACACUGGGACUGAGACACGGCCCAGACUCCUACGGGAGGCAGCAGUGGGGAAUAUUGGACAAUGGGCGCAAGCCUGAUCCAGCAAUGCCGCGUGUGUGAAGAAGGCCUGCGGGUUGUAAAGCACUUUCAGUAGAGAAGAAAAGCCUGAGGUUAAUACCCUCAAGUCUUGACGUAACCUACAGAAGAAGCACCGGCUAACUCCGUG